UAUUUGCGUUAGUGAUUGCAGCGGAAAUACUUUUUUGAUUCGCCUUUUGGCGAAGAAAAAAAGAUUGAAACGAAAAGCACGACCCGCC
rfam:Lutibacter sp. BRH_c52 BRHa_1006310, whole genome shotgun sequence.